AUUGAACGCUGGCGGUAUGCCUUACACAUGCAAGUCGAACGGUAGAGGGGCAACCCUUGAGAGUGGCGAACGGGUGAGUAAUACAUCGGAACGUGCCCAGUCGUGGGGGAUAACGUAGCGAAAGCUACGCUAAUACCGCAUACGACCUGAGGGUGAAAGCGGGGGAUCGCAAGACCUCGCGCGAUUGGAGCGGCCGAUGGCAGAUUAGGUAGUUGGUGGGGUAAAGGCCUACCAAGCCUGCGAUCUGUAGCUGGUCUGAGAGGACGACCAGCCACACUGGGACUGAGACACGGCCCAGACUCCUACGGGAGGCAGCAGUGGGGAAUUUUGGACAAUGGGCGCAAGCCUGAUCCAGCCAUGCCGCGUGCGGGAAGAAGGCCUUCGGGUUGUAAACCGCUUUUGUCAGGGAAGAAAUCUUCUGGGCUAAUACCUCGGGAGGAUGACGGUACCUGAAGAAUAAGCACCGGCUAACUACGUGCCAGCAGCCGCGGUAACAC
rnacentral:rRNA from 1 species